AUAUAAGUAAAAUUGAUUUUUUAGGUUCAUUCAUUUAAUGAUGUAUAUGGUUCAUAUUAUAGACCAGAUACAUCAUUAAAUGAAUGAACCUAAAAAGUCAAUUUUGCUUAUAU
rfam:Medicago truncatula strain A17 chromosome 5, whole genome shotgun sequence.